CCACUUUUUCGGCCCGCGAUCUCACCCAACUUCCGGUCAGCGGUUUCCAUAUUUUUCCCUCAAAAACGCGGGCUCAUAUUUUUCUAGACCAUUUUUCUAUUAUUUUUGGCAUUAUUUUUUCUAUUAUUUUUGGCAUUAUUUUUUCUAUUAUUUUUGGCGUUAUUUUUUCUAUUAUUUUUGGCAUUAUUAUUUCUAUUAUUUUUCUAUUGUUUUUCAGCAUUAUUAUUUCAACAUUAUUUAACAAUUUACUUUUCCUAUUGAGUGAUGUCCGUACGCGUAACUUGUAACACCAUCUUCAAGUAGGUAUCUUUUAUCAUCGAAACAGCUGAGUGUAACUUUCUUCAAUUCGUAAGUUCCGAUUUUAUGCUUGAUGCUUCUGAUCGUGUUCAUCUUAUGUCUCAUCCUACCUUUGGUCUUGAUUACGUUCUUAAAGUUUUCGUGAGUGAGUUUGUUUCUAAUCACGUACUUUUUCACACCUUUCGCUGUCAUUCCACCUCCGCCGCUCUCCUUCACGUAGGAGUACAUCUUUGACCUUAACCCUACAAAUUCAAUCACUGGUACUCCUUCAGCUUCAUCCUUAAACUUUCCAAUUACCUUCUUAUUGUGAGCUGAGUAAUAUGGAGAAUCUUUCGGAUAAUCUGAGUUGUCCCAGCAGUCCUUCUCCUGACCUAUCCUCUUGAAGUCCUCAUACACGUCAUCAGUCUUGAUCUCGUACAUUAGACUGUCGGUGUCUGUGAAUAGAAGCUUCGACUUAUCACCGUACUCCUUCUUGAUUGUGUUGUAAUGGAAGUCAUACAUCAGAGUCUUAGAUAAGUCUAAUAUACUCAUUCCCACAUAGCACGGUUUAUUCAGAGUUAGAACUUCCUUCAUUCUCUUUACCACAAUUAAGUUCUCAUUCAUAAUCCUAUGCGAUUGGAAGCACGGCGACGCUGUAAGUUUUAGGAGGUCAUUUUCCGAUGACACUAAUUUUACAUCAACUCUCUUCCUCAAAUUUUCCAUAGUCUUUCCGUAUAUGGAAUUGUUCAUAAGUUUGAAGAAGUUUUUCUCAAACGCAUUCUUAGCUACUGACCGUUUUUGAGUAUUAAAGUCAAUAUAGUUUUUCAGCCAAGUUGACUGCUUGAAGGAGACUGCUCUAUGGACCUUUACAAGUUUCAUUCCGAGAUCCAUGUAGAGUUUCAAGUUACGGGCAUGUAGGACGUAGUUCUUCCUGGGACCUAGUGAGUUCACCAGUUUUCUUACUCCUCCAAUCGUAAGCUGGAAUUUCUCAGCAAUACUCUUUGCGUAAUCUGACAACAUUGACGC